AGCUUUUGUCCCCAAAUCCAUUCAAACAAAAGAAGCUCCGACUCCUCCAAUCCACCCUUCGGACCCGCACCCCGCGGGGACUCUCCAGAUCCGGGUGUCCACUCCCCCGCCAGCCCUACUUACUCCUCAACGCCCCAAUGAGCAGAGAGCCGUCCUUAAUGAGCUCCUUGAUGAACUUGUUGGUUCGCUCCAGCUCAAUCUCGUGACACUGCAAGCGCUCCCUGAAAUCUGGGCUGUCCAAGUAGGAAUCGCUGAACUCCAGAGUGGGCAGCCCCAUGGCACAGGCGCUGCCAGCGGCGGCCGCGGACACGUCCGGGCCGGCGGUUUGGGGAAGGGAGAGGCAGUAAUUCUGUUUGUCAGUUAAUGAAAUGAUAUGACAUAAACAGCAGUGGACUGUGUUUCACCAGAGGUGAUUUUAUAUUUACUCAUUACUCUGCCUGAAAGACAAAAAACCACCCAGGCCAGUUUCCUUUCAACUUUUGCCAUGUUGCUGUUCCUAUCAACUGAAUCCAGGGCCAAACUGCUGAGAUAUGAAACGAUAAAAUAUAACAUUCUCUUCCUGUUUUUCAUUAAAUCAUCGUACUGUGAUUAAGUCUUAAAAAAUGCAUCAUUGGUGUUUCAUAAGUUGCAUUUAACAUGUUGGAUGUCAAUAUUUAGUUUUCUUUAAAAGUCUUACAUGCCAGGGCAGAUGUAUCGUACAUUCUAUGAUAUAGGUUAUCAUUUGCCCAUUCAUGUAUGUAAUUAUAUGUUUUAUGUCUACUGUCUACAUUACUAAGGUCUGGGUGGGGAAGUGAUUUCUAUAAAAAGAUAGAAGCAUUAUCCAUGACCUCAAGCAGUUCUCAGAAAAAGGAAAUGUGGAGAAUAAGUACCCAUAUAGCAUAAGGCAGAAUAUGCUAUGUUCCACAGCCUCACACAGAUGCUGUACUAAUAAUACAUUGAUGCUAUUGUUUAUCAAUAUGUUUCCACUCAGGCCUAUCAUUGCAUUUACAUGGGAUUAGGACUUUUUCUCCUACCCUUCACUCAUGAGUCCCUAAAGUUUAUCAUGUUAUAAUGGGCUUAUUUCUUGUAGGUGUUUUCAUAGUUACUCAUGCCUUAUUCCUGUGAUUCAUACUUUAAUUAUACCUGCUAGUCAGGCUUUCUCUUAUGCCACAUUAACACAGCUACUUGAGAAAAACCAGAAAUACUUUUGCUUUGAGGUGGAUUUACUGUCAGUUUUGAACUGUUGUUUCCAUGCAUUAUUCUCUCCAUCAUAAUUAACCGAACCAGAUUCUUUCCAAGAGAAUAGACUUUCUAUACAAAAGAUCAGCAAUACCUGCAAGCUUGUUUUCAUAAACAAAUGUAAUGGAUUGAAAUAUAGCCUGUCCAGAAAUUUCCACUUCAUAACACAUGACACCAUAAGCUGCGUGGUAAGCUUCGCAAAUAUUAUUGGCUGACAGGCUCUUUGGCACAGAGAAAUGUCUCUGUUUGUUUUCCUGAUUCUGGAAUGGGAUAUGUGGGCUUUGUUUACUUGCUUUUGAGAGCAAAUAGAUAGUAGAGGAUAGUAAACUAAUAUGGCAUUUGUAAAUCUGCCUAAAACUUUUUCUUGACGUAGAUCAUGUCUGACACUUAAGCCUGGCACUUCGUAUGUACUCAGCAAAUGUUAUUGUCAAGCUAUUAUUACUUUUCAAUUAAUUAUGUAGAUUUAGACCACCCAGACUCAGAUAAUCCGAGGUUAAGUUCAAGCCUGGUAAGAGAUGACUAAACAGAAACCAAGUGUUUCUUCUUGGUUUCCCCUCCUCCCAGCUCCUGGUAACCAUUCUACUUUCUAUCUCUAUGAGUUUGACAAUGUAGGUAUCUCAUAUAAAUGAAAUUAUACAAUAUUUGCA